rnacentral:rRNA from 1 species
UCCAGACUCCUACGGGAGGCAGCAGUGGGGGAUAUUGCACAAUGGGGGGAACCCUGAUGCAGCGACGCCGCGUGGGUGAAGAAGCGCCUCGGCGCGUAAAGCCCUGUCAGCAGGGAAGAAAAUGACGGUACCUGAAGAAGAAGCCCCGGCUAACUACGUGCCAGCAGCCGCGGUAAUACGUAGGGGGCAAGCGUUAUCCGGAUUUACUGGGUGUAAAGGGAGCGUAGACGGCGGCGCAAGUCCGGAGUGAAAGCCCACGGCCCAACCGUGGGACUGCUCUUGGAACUGCGCGGCUGGAGUGCAGGAGGGGCAGGCGGAAUUCCUGGUGUAGCGGUGAAAUGCGUAGAUAUCAGGAGGAACACCGGUGGCGAAGGCGGCCUGCUGGACUGCGACUGACGUUGAGGCCCGAAAGCGUGGGGAGCAAACAGGAUUAGAUACCCGGGUA